AGAACGAACGCUGGCGGCAUGCCUAAUACAUGCAAGUCGAACGAACUCUUCGGAGUUAGUGGCGCACGGGUGCGUAACGCGUGGGAAUCUGCCCCUUGGUUCGGAAUAACAGUUGGAAACGACUGCUAAUACCGGAUGAUGACGAAAGUCCAAAGAUUUAUCGCCAAGGGAUGAGCCCGCGUAGGAUUAGCUAGUUGGUGAGGUAAAGGCUCACCAAGGCAACGAUCCUUAGCUGGUCUGAGAGGAUGAUCAGCCACACUGGGACUGAGACACGGCCCAGACUCCUACGGGAGGCAGCAGUAGGGAAUAUUGGACAAUGGGCGAAAGCCUGAUCCAGCAAUGCCGCGUGAGUGAUGAAGGCCUUAGGGUGUAAAGCUCUUUUACCCGAGAUGAUAAUGACAGUAUCGGAGAAUAAGCCCGGAUAACUCCGUAGCCAACGACGCCGAC
rnacentral:rRNA from 1 species